UGCACUUUGUGAUAGAAUCAGAUUAAAGAUUUUUGGUUGCAAAAAUGAAAUUCAUGUUCCCACUGUAAUUGGGGAUGAUUUAAUUUGCUGUCAGAAAUAAUGGAUGAGGUGCACUCCCUCAGACUUAUUCUUUGGAGUGUUUCCCUGAUCAUGGUUCCAAAUGGCCCAUGAUUUACUGGGAAUACUGGAUUCCAGAUCUGCCUACUGAAGCCCUUUCCUCUGCUGAUGAACCAGGGGAUGCUGAGAUCUACUAAAUGUGCAAAUGAGCCAGUGGGAUGUGGGUAUUUGGUAACAGUCCAUGUUCAAACUCUCUGAGGUCCUUCUGUAGAGCUCUCACUUGUUUCUUUGUAGAUUGUGUAUAAAGAAGUGGAGAAAUCCCCAACUGUUGACACAGAGAGACUUACUUUCCCUCCAACAAGAGCAUUGGCUAGUUCUCUCUUCUGCACAAAGAGUAAAUAUGACAUUUCCCAGGUGCCAGUUUCUUUACAGUACAUCAAACCAGUUGCUGACAGGGCAAAUCCCAAAGUGGGAGUUGGGAUGUUGGCCUUCAGUGCAGAUAACUGUUUCCUGGCAACCAAAAAUGAUAACAUUCCCAACGCCGUGUGGAUCUGGGACAUCCGGAAGCUGAAGCUGUCCGUGGUGUUGGAGCAGCUGUGCACGAUCCAGAGUUUCCAGUGGGACCCCUGCCAGCCCCGCCUGGCGGUGUGCACGGGCAGCAGCAGAGUGUACCUGUGGUCCCCAGCUGGCUGUGUUGUUGUACAGGUGCCUGGGGAAGGUGAGCAGCAGCUGCCACAACCUCUCAGCA